UGCAGUCGAGCGGACAGAAGGGAGCUUGCUCCCGGAUGUUAGCGGCGGACGGGUGAGUAACACGUGGGUAACCUGCCUGUAAGACUGGGAUAACUCCGGGAAACCGGAGCUAAUACCGGAUAGUUCCUUGAACCGCAUGGUUCAAGGAUGAAAGACGGUUUCGGCUGUCACUUACAGAUGGACCCGCGGCGCAUUAGCUAGUUGGUGGGGUAAUGGCUCACCAAGGCGACGAUGCGUAGCCGACCUGAGAGGGUGAUCGGCCACACUGGGACUGAGACACGGCCCAGACUCCUACGGGAGGCAGCAGUAGGGAAUCUUCCGCAAUGGACGAAAGUCUGACGGAGCAACGCCGCGUGAGUGAUGAAGGUUUUCGGAUCGUAAAGCUCUGUUGUUAGGGAAGAACAAGUGCGAGAGUAACUGCUCGCACCUUGACGGUACCUAACCAGAAAGCCACGGCUAACUACGUGCCAGCAGCCGCGGUAAUACGUAGGUGGCAAGCGUUGUCCGGAAUUAUUGGGCGUAAAGGGCUCGCAGGCGGUUUCUUAAGUCUGAUGUGAAAGCCCCCGGCUCAACCGGGGAGGGUCAUUGGAAACUGGGAAACUUGAGUGCAGAAGAGGAGAGUGGAAUUCCACGUGUAGCGGUGAAAUGCGUAGAGAUGUGGAGGAACACCAGUGGCGAAAGGCGACUCUCUGGUCUGUAACUGACGCUGAGGAGCGAAAGCGUGGGGAGCGAACAGGAUUAGAUACCCUGGUAGUCCACG
rnacentral:rRNA from 1 species